rnacentral:rRNA from 1 species
AACGCGAAGAACCUUACCUACCCUUGACAUGUCAGGAACUUGCCAGAGAUGGCUUGGUGCUCGAAAGAGAACCUGAACACAGGUGCUGCAUGGCUGUCGUCAGCUCGUGUCGUGAGAUGUUGGGUUAAGUCCCGCAACGAGCGCAACCCUUGUCGUUAAUUGCCAUCAUUCAGUUGGGCACUUUAACGAGACUGCCGGUGACAAACCGGAGGAAGGUGGGGAUGACGUCAAGUCCUCAUGGCCCUUAUGGGUAGGGCUUCACACGUCAUACAAUGGUCGGUACAAAGGGUCGCCAACCCGCGAGGGGGAGCCAAUCCCAUAAAGCCGAUCGUAGUCCGGAUUGCAGGCUGCAACUCGCCUGCAUGAAGUCGGAAUCGCUAGUAAUCGUGGAUCAGCAUGUCACGGUGAAUACGUUCCCGGGCCUUGUACACACCG